rnacentral:rRNA from 1 species
GACCCCAGGUCAGGCGGGGUUACCCGCUGAAUUUAAGCAUAUCAAUAGG